rnacentral:rRNA from 1 species
GACGAACGCUGGCGGCGUGCCUAAUACAUGCAAGUAGAACGCUGAAGGAGGAGCUUGCUUCUCUGGAUGAGUUGCGAACGGGUGAGUAACGCGUAGGUAACCUGCCUGGUAGCGGGGGAUAACUAUUGGAAACGAUAGCUAAUACCGCAUAAUAGUAGAUGUUGCAUGACAUUUACUUGAAAGGUGCAAUUGCAUCACUACCAGAUGGACCUGCGUUGUAUUAGCUAGUUGGUGGGGUAACGGCUCACCAAGGCGACGAUACAUAGCCGACCUGAGAGGGUGAUCGGCCACACUGGGACUGAGACACGGCCCAGACUCCUACGGGAGGCAGCAGUAGGGAAUUUUCGGCA